rnacentral:rRNA from 1 species
GGAACGCUAAUACCGCAUACGUCCUACGGGAGAAAGCAGGGGACCUUCGGGCCUUGCGCUAUCAGAUGAGCCUAGGUCGGAUUAGCUAGUUGGUGAGGUAAAGGCUCACCAAGGCGACGAUCCGUAACUGGUCUGAGAGGAUGAUCAGUCACACUGGAACUGAGACACGGUCCAGACUCCUACGGGAGGCAGCAGUGGGGAAUAUUGGACAAUGGGCGAAAGCCUGAUCCAGCCAUGCCGCGUGUGUGAAGAAGGUCUUCGGAUUGUAAAGCACUUUAAGUUGGGAGGAAGGUUUUUUAAGUUAAUACCUUGCUGUUUUGACGUUACCGACAGAAUAAGCACCGGCUAACUUCGUGCCAGCAGCCGCGGUAAUACGAAGGGUGCAAGCGUUAAUCGGAAUUACUGGGCGUAAAGCGCGCGUAGGUGGUUCAGCAAGUUGGAUGUGAAAGCCCCGGGCUCAACCUGGGAACUGCAUCCAAAACUACUGAGCUAGA